UUUUGUUAACUGUUGAGCAAUUUAACUUUUUAAGUAAAUUUAAAGUUAUUAUGGCCACCGCCUUGAAUCCUGUUCCUUUUUUAACCGAGUUAGUAGGUCGCCCAGUUAUUUGUAAGCUUAAAUGGGGUAUGGAAUACAAAGGCCUUUUAAAAUGCUUUGACGCUUACAUGAAUAUUCAACUAGCAGGAGCUGAAGAAUAUGUAGAUGGGGUAAAAGUUGGAAGCCUCGGAAACAUUUUUAUACGUUGUAACAACAUUAUGUAUAUUAGAAAAGUUGUCAGUGAGCAAACCUCAUAAUAUUUUAAUAGU